rnacentral:rRNA from 1 species
UACGUAGGGUGCAAGCGUUGUCCGGAAUUAUUGGGCGUAAAGAGCUCGUAGGCGGCUUGUCGCGUCGGCUGUGAAAACCUGGGGCUCAACCCCGGGCCUGCAGCCGAUACGGGCAAGCUAGAAUUCGGUAGGGGAGACUGGAAUUCCAGGUGUAGCGGUGAAAUGCGUAGAUAUCUGGAGGAACACCGGUGGCGAAGGCGGCAUCCUGGACCACGACUGACACUGAAACGCGAAAGCCAGGGGAGCAAACGGG